UGCAUACUUCACAUCUAAGUCUGAGGAGGUAUAUAUAUAUGAACAGACUUGCGCUCUUGUAAGGAAAACCCAAGGAAGUUAUACUUCAAUCAAGGAUUUGAGGAAUCCCUUGAUUGAGACGAUUUGCUGAUCCAUGUCCAUAUUAGAUAUGUGCAUGGUAAAUAACAUUCCUUCCUUCUUGACAGAUAUGAUUCAAUUAUGUGCUUGGCUGAAGGAUUUAUCUUGACUCUUUGGCUUGAUCUGAUUUCCUUUCUUCUCUUGAUGGCUUGGCUCUAUUCUUGGCUUGAUUGAUGAUUCC
rnacentral:lncRNA from 1 species